rnacentral:rRNA from 1 species
UACGGAGGGUGCAAGCGUUAUCCGGAUUCACUGGGCUUAAAGGGUGCGUAGGUGGGUUGGUAAGUCAGUGGUGAAAUCUCCGAGCUUAACUUGGAAACUGCCAUUGAUACUAUCAGUCUUGAAUAUUGUGGAGGUCAGCGGAAUAUGUAAUGUAGCGGUGAAAUGCUUAGAUAUGACAUAGAACACCAAUUGCGAAGGCAGCUGGCUGGACAUAUAUUGACACUGAGGCACGAAAGCGUGGGGAGCAAACAGG